CUUAAUAGAAAUGAACUCUAAUUUUCUUGAGAAAUUCUCUCACAUCUUGAUGACAUCUACCAAGUCAGUCUCUCCACUCAGGCUCUCGCCAGUGCUUUUGGAAUGUGAGAAGCACACAGAUCACCAUAGUAUCUGACUCUCUCUGAGUUAUGGGAGAAUGUUGUCUCUUCAGAUCCACACUUGAGGAGUCUUGAAAUUGGGCUUGCAGGUGUAAGAAACUUUCACAGUAGUGACUUUUAGAAGGUCUGACCUUGGAUGGAGUGUUUUCAAAAAGGAUAUAAAGAAAGAUGUUCCUCAGCUCUUUCCACUGCUGUCUUCCAACCAACGAUAUUCUGAAGAAAACAGAAGGGUCAGUGUGAAUCUGCAGAGGCAAUAGAUUUGAACAAACAGUAAGGAAAAAACACAAAAUCAGCUUUAAGAAUCUAAAAAUCAGUGAGGUUUUGGAGGAAGAUAUCCUGGUACAAGAAGUACAACUACACAAUCACCAGUGGAUUUUAAUACUGGAAUUCUGAGAACUGGCACCCGGUAAGAAGAAAAUCUGUUUUGAUUACAAAUUGAACACAUGGAGGGCACAACUCCAGGAACAGCUUUUAACCUGAAUUGUCUGGAUCAGUCUGUCAUCAUGGAAGGGCAGUGGGUCUUUCGAGCAGUCCUAGAUAUUGUGGACCAGAUUCUCGUCUUGCCUACAGCAGGUUUCACUGGUGGAUGUAAUUUCAUUAUUUCAAGGGCAUUACACUGAUUAAAUCAAGACUAAGUGCAAGGAGGAUUGGGCCCUUCACAUUUAAUAAAGAACAUUUUAUAUUAAAUGUGUUUCUCUUCUAUAUGAAACUCUUCCAUAAGAAGGAAGCAGAAGAAACAAUAUUAGAAAUGUCAAAUCUCAUCGCCCUGGGUAUAGCUGGAGGAACUCCUGCAGAUCCUAGUGUGUGGUAAGAGUGGUAAUCGAAUUCGUGAAAGUGCUAGAAGUGCUAUGACAUUGUCAUUAGUGAAGAUAACAUAACAGAGAAGCAGUAUAAUGGAGAAGAUGGAAUGUUUGCUGGCUGACUGGAUUGAUGACCUCCAUGAAAAAAAACACCUGUGGGUUUAAGCUUGAUUCAGGAGAAGGCCAAAAGCCUAUAUAAUGAUUUAAAGGCAAGAUAGGGAGACCUCAACAGCAGAAAAGGAGACCUUCAAUGCUAGUCAUGGAUGGUUCCACAGAUUUCAGAAGCGUGCCAGUCUACAUAAUAUAAAAAUCACAGGAGAAGUGGCUCGUGUGAAUGAAGAAGCAGCUGAAACGUUUCCUAUGCAGCUAAACACAAUUGUUUUGGAAGGUGGCUACUCUCCCGAAUAAGUUUAACAUCGAUGAGAUGGGCCUUUACUGGAAGAAGAUGCCAGUGAAGACUUAUAUUUCUCAUGAUGAGAAGACUGCUCUUCAAAGCCUCAAAAGACCACUUAACCCUUCUGCUUGGGGGAAAUGCAGAAGGCGAUUGCAAGUUGAAGCCCUUUUUUGUUUACCACAGUGAAAACCCAAGAGCAAUGAGAUGCAAUAUCAAGUCUUGUCUCCUUGUAAUUCGAAAGUUGAACAGAAAGGCCUGGAUAACAUGCAGUGUUUUCCAUAAGUGGUUUGUAGACCAUGCUGUUCCUGAAUUUAAGGCUUACUGUCAGAAGGAAAAUUUGGCCUUUAAGAUUCUCCUUCUGUUGGAUAACGCAAGUGCCCAUGAACUAGACUACAGAGCCCUCUGCCUGAAUAUAAAGGUCCUAUUUUUGCCUCCCAAAACCACAUCAUUGCUGCAGCCUGUGGACCAGGGUGUAAUGGCCACAUUCAAGGCUUGUUACUUAUGGAGGACAUUCUUCAUGCUGAUUAAGGAAACAGCAGGUGAAGGAAAGCCCAAUGUAGAGGAGUUUUGGAAGUCCAACAACAUCUUGAAAGGCAUGGAAAACAUUGACGCAUCGUGGGAAGAGGUCAUUUCACAAUGUAUGAACUGCAAGUCUCUAGGGCUAUCAAUGAUACAGUGGCUUGCCACAGGGAGAUCUAUCAUUCAAAGAUUCAUGCAGGAGAGCAGAUGUCAAUAAAAUCCUUUUUUAAGACUUCUGCAACCAAAAGCCAGCUACGGAAAAGCCAACCCAAGAAAACCCAGCUGCCACCCCUACCUAAGUUUAGCAUAACUGACACUGUUUUAUAUUACAUUACUGUUCUGUAUUUACUGUAUUAAAAUUUUUUGUGUUUGAACAGUGUUAGUAGGGUUCUAUAUCAUUUUAUUCAAUGUUUUAUCUGUAAAAUGUGUACUGUAUAACCUGUCUUUGUAAAAAGGUACACUGUUUAGGUGAAAAGAGCAUUGUCAUAGGCGAGUGUGGUGAAAUUGCGAAUGCAUCUCCCUCCCCCCUUCCAUUAUUUCUUAUGGGGAAAAAUUCCUCAGUAUCAGUUGUUUCGGUAUCCAUUGCCCUUUUCAAAAAUGCAACCCCAGUGUAUACAGGAGACCCCCUGUACAGCACCCAGCACUCUGAUGGUAUUUAUUAAAUAUUCAGUAUCAUGAAAUCUUUGUCAUAGUGACCAGAAAGGCCCCAAUCAAAUUUAAGCUCAAGCAUCCUGCUGCAACAAACUUACACAAAAGACAUUUGGAUCAAAUUUUGGACUUCUCCCAUCCUGCAGUGAACCUUGGACCUGAGCUUUGAUUCCUAAGAAUGCAGACAGUGCACUUCCAGUGGAACAGGACCUCUUCUUUUCAUGUAGCCUUUGGCAAUAUGUACAGGUAUAAUUAUAGACACAUAAGCUACUCUGUCUGUUCUAGCUGCCAAGAGAGUUGGUGGUGAAGUUUGAA